rnacentral:rRNA from 1 species
CCUACGGGCGGCUGCAGUGGGGAAUAUUGGACAAUGGGGGGAACCCUGAUCCAGCCAUGCCGCGUGUGUGAAGAAGGCCCUCGGGUUGUAAAGCACUUUCAGUGAGGAAGAACGCCUGGUGGUUUAUACCCAUCAGGAAAGACAUCACUCACAGAAGAAGCACCGGCUAACUCCGUGCCAGCAGCCGCGGUAAUACGGAGGGUGCGAGCGUUAAUCGGAAUUACUGGGCGUAAAGCGCGCGUAGGUGGCUUGAUAAGCCGGUUGUGAAAGCCCCGGGCUCAACCUGGGAACGGCAUCCGGAACUGUCAAGCUAGAGUGCAGGAGAGGAAGGUAGAAUUCCCGGUGUAGCGGUGAAAUGCGUAGAGAUCGGGAGGAAUACCAGUGGCGAAGGCGGCCUUCUGGACUGACACUGACACUGAGGUGCGAAAGCGUGGGUAGCAAACAGGAUUAGAUACCCGAGUAGUC